rnacentral:misc_RNA from 1 species
AAGUCGUAACAAGGUUUCCGUAGGUGAACCUGCGGAAGGGUCAUUAACACGUAUCCAAACGUUAAACCCCCCUGUGAACCUUCAGUGUACUCGUCCGUCCGUUAGCAAAAGCAGCAAUCCCUGGUAAAUCAUCGCCGAACAGUUUUCGAUUCAGGGACGUCUGCAAGGAGCGUGCAUGUUGUGCGAGCAAGUGGCCUGGCAUCCCCAAGCAGUUAGUGUCUGAAAGUGUCAUUAACUGUGUAAGGAUGACGCAGUCACGAUCGUUGGAGGCCCACACGGCCGACGACCGGGUCACUGGGCGCAAGCCCCCCUAUAACAAACGCUGCUAAGCGCGGCCGCGAUAAUACGCAGUCGACCAAAAACCGAACAACUGUUAACAAUGGAUAUCUUGGUUCUC